GGUUCAGGACGAACGCUGGCGGCGUGCUUAACACAUGCAAGUCGAACGGGAGUAUUGAAGAAGCUUGCUUAGAGAUACUUUAGUGGCGGACGGGUGAGUAACGCGUGAGGAGCUGUCCUAUGCAGGGGGACAACAGCUGGAAACGGCUGCUAAUACCCCAUAAGCCGAGAGGUAAAAGGAUCAAUCCGGCAGAGGAGGUACUCGCGUCCUAUCAGCUAGUAGGUGAGGUAACGGCUCACCUAGGCGAAGACGGGUAGCCGGCCUGAGAGGGCGAACGGCCACACUGGAACUGAGAUACGGUCCAGACUCCUACGGGAGGCAGCAGUGGGGAAUAUUGGGCAAUGGGGGAAACCCUGACCCAGCGACGCCGCGUGGGUGAAGAAAUCCUUCGGGAUGUAAAGCCCUGUUGUAUGGGAAGAGCGGAAGACGGUACCAUACGAGGAAGCCCCGGCAAACUACGUGCCAGCCGCUGC
rnacentral:rRNA from 1 species